UUGCUGUUUUUCAUAUUCAGUGGAGCAAAAAAAAAAAAGAGACAAUCUACAUGACCAACAAAAAGUCAACCAGAAGUUAAAUAAGGAAUUAGUGCUAAUCUGCAGUUGAUCCAGAUGUAAUCCAUAACAAUUACAUAGAAAACUUCUGGGUUAUUUAAAUAUGCUUUUGCAACACUGUACCUCUAACUUAGAAUUCAGCCUUCUGUGCCCUGUUGUGUGAGGUAUGAGAUGUAAUUCCUACCUUUUUGUUUCUUUUUCAAGCAGUGUCUCUUUCUGCAUAGCGUAAAAAUCUGCUGAUUCUGGCUAAAAUGUAGUGAACAGAAGAUCCUUUAGGACCUGUGUGCAGUAGCAUCUGAACAUGUGAGAGUUCUUUACAAAGAAGUAUCAGAGGACGCUGAGCAUCACCAAUAUGGAUAAGUUCCCACGUAUGUUACCAGUGAAGCGACCAAAGGUGUCUGCAGGAUCUGCUGUGGACAGCAAUUGCAAGAGCUCAUUCAAUUUCAGAGGCGGAAACAGAAUCAUGAAAGGCUGCCAGAACUAAGACACUUCCUCUGAGAGGCAGAAAAUUCCUUUCUUUCCGGACAGAGGCCUAAUCCCAGAAGCAACCAGGAGGGAACAGAAUGUGAUUAGCAUGGUUCUCUGUAGGAAGGAAGAAAACCUGCUCUUCUGCAUGUACCACUCAGCUUGGCCAGAUACAGUCUACCCUAGCGUGGGGACAAGUCUUCAGGUACUAAGCUUUUGAAGUUAGAAAUAAGAGGACUGUGAUAUGGCGAAGAAGCUCAGCAGUUGGAAAGCCAAGAGGCUUUGUCUCCAUUUCAUUCUGCUUUUCUGCUACCAGGAAAGGCAGUCAUGUCGUGUUCUGCAGUGAGGAUGCCCUCUUGUGCCUAAACACUAUUUGUUCUUGAACACACACCUGGCUUCUCACCUGUGCCAUAUACAUGCAGAAGGAUUUCUGUGACAAGUAUCUACAGCAUCGAUUCUCUGGGACUGUAACUCCUUCUGUGUGGUUAAAUUCAGAAUUAAUUUUUCAUGAUAAAAUCAAAAAUAAAUCACAGUCUGCCCAGCAAACCCUUUCUGUUAUGUAUAAAUGUAUCUUGUAUUGUCCGUUUUUUGGGGCAAUUCCCAAGAAAGCUUUCCUUUUUUGGUAUGAGGAAGACUUAUCUUUUCAUUAGUCGUGUGAAAUUAUUGUAGAAAUUCUCCAUAAGAAAGAUAAAUAAUUAGGCCUCUAUGUGGA